AUCCCCCUCUUUGAGCAAUUAAUUUGCUCAUCUUAUCAAUAAAAUUUUACCAGGACAGAGAAACUUCCACAUGGUAUUUUCAGGGGUGCUAGUCACUCCCUGCGGGACUUUCAUUAAUUUCUUCACCUCGAUUCCCAUGUGGUAAUUCCUAAGGCCCAGUUUUAAAGAUGGGUUGAUAGCCUCCAGUGGCAGAGAGGAGAGUUUCCAAUUGUUUCUGUUCUGCAUUAUAGAUUAAUUUCUGUAUUCUCUUUCUCAGUGUACAAGUAAGAUGGCAGUUAUACAAAAUCAUACACAAUAAAAUCAGGACUAUAAUAACAAGAGGAUAGAAGAAUGAUUUCAUUAUCUGGGAUCCAGUAGGAGACCAACCAGUAAAAGCAUCGUACCAAUGAUGGACUAAAUCAUUCUGAAUCUGUGAACUCACCUUAAGGAGUUCUCCUUUUAGGAUAUGUGUGGCUACCUGUGUGUGUACUAGAGCAUCAUUAUGUGUAACAAGAUGUUUAAACAUAUUUUGUUUUCCUUUCAUUAAGGAGACAAUAGUCUCAAGAGGUAAAUGGUAAUCUUCAAAAGGCAGCGAGCCCAAUAGGGCAUUAACAUGUUUGUCUAAAGUGAUUGUGUUGCUGAAAUAAUAUUGGGUGCCAUUAAGAUCUAACCAGGUAAUAUUAGUCAAACAUCCUGAAAAAGGGAGAGGUAGAUUAAUACUUGUAGUGCUAGUAAUUAUCUUUGUAGGGAGAUUAGUUGCUAAACAGAUAUGUCGUGUGCUUAUUUCUGUCAUAGUAAAAUAAUUUUCAGGAUAUAUGUGCCAUAUACAUUUGUUAAGUUCAUUUUGGAGUAAACAUGGUUCGUAAAUAGAGGACGAGUGUCGACAUGCAUAUCCUUUGUCAGUGAGAACACAGUGUUUAAGGGAAUAGGUCAUAUUAUCUUUGGGAAAAAUAUAGUCCCCUGUGUAUGUGGGUGCCCACCAGGUUAAAUUCUUGGCAAAGAGAUCAUAAACUGGUACUGGUAAUGUGUUAAAUUGACAAGCUAAUUUAACAUCCUUUGAUGUUGUAUGAUAUAAUGUAAAAUAGCAUGAGCAUGAAAAAUGUGAAACAUUACCAGUUAACCAUUCAUUGCAUUUAGUGGAUUGGGGUUUCAGAAGUAACCAUUCAUUAUCUGUGAGGUUAAGCAUUCCUCUAAUCUUCUCUAAUUUAGGAAUCAUUAGUAUGUCUUCUAAUGCCGAUCUUUGGUGUUGCAUCCAUAAAUACCUGAUGGCACAAGUACUCCAAUUACUUAGACCUGUUGUGAAUUUCAUAGUUGCAACAGUUAAAUUAUCUAAAUAAUUAUACAUUGAUUUAUCUAAAUCCAAUCCUGUAACCUGUGAUUUAACAACAGUUGGAGCCCAGUUUGCAGUAGCAUGAAAACCAGUCCCUAUAUGCAUACUGGCUGUGUUUAACUUAUUCUUGAGGGUCUCCAUGUCUAUACUAUUUAGUAUACCCAUAGUGGUUCCAGCACCUCCUAACAGUGUGUCAUACCAUUCCCUUUUCUGCCUUUUGUUUGCUGUGUUACAUAAUGUUACAACAGGAGUAGUGAUUUUUAAUGACACAUGUACAGCUUGUAAGAAGACAGUUGUAUUAACACAUGUGGAUGGAAUAGGUGUGUGUGUGUCGUUGUUGACUUUUGGUUCUAUGUUAGAGGAUAAAGGACAGUAAUAAGGUGUAAAAAUAUAAGGUAGUGUAUAGUUCUCAAUUACAGUGUCAUUCAUAAUGACUAACAUUUGUCCCUUUUUCCAAUUAAUGGUACCAGUUGUAUAAUCAUUAUUAAAAGUAAUAAGGCCUGUUUGUUUACAUUGAUAUGCAACCUUACUAAUUUUCUUAUAAUAUAUAUCCCAAACCUGUUUAGAUGGUUUUCUCUUACCAUCAGAACUUAUAUUAAAUAAGGUGGCACAGAUACCAGUGUAAUUAGCAACCUUAACUGUGCACAUUUCUGUGUUAUAAGAUCUAACAAUUUUCCGUGAACCUUCAAACAAACAUAAUGCAUCGGUUUCAUUAGCUGUGGACACAUUCCAUAUGAGUAAUUGAUACUUAUAAGGGUUAUUAUUUGUCCAAUUCAUCCAAAUGCGUUCAGUGAAUGAAUGAUUGCAUAUUACAUGCUGAUAGAAAGGUGGUGGAGAAAGGUUCUUGAGGGGGCGUGUGUGACGAAUGCUAGAUGAGGGGCUAAGGCCUAAUUGGGCUGGGGGUAUUGAAGAAUUGUUCAUCAUGUCAGAGUCUUUUUUCCAGAACUUGCCAUUGACUUGUACUCAUAAUGGCAUUCAAGGAACAAUAUCAGAGGGAGUAUAACAACUCCAGAAAGCAUAGCGCACAACAUAAUCUUGGUCUCAGGUAUGUAUGAUCCUCUCAAUCUACGAUAUGGUGUAAAAGCCAUGAUGCUUCGCUGAGGAGAAAUUCUUCUGUUUCCGAGCGAGGAGUGGUGUUGUCUUCCUUGGUUCCCCUCUUUGGACACAGCUUCACUCGGGAUGCGUGAAUCCAGAUGUCGUGGGAAUCUGUGAGGACAGCGGUUCUGGUUACAGCAAUCACAGUAGCAGGUGGUCCAAAAGGGUAUCCUCCUUUCUUGGUCCUGUUCAGCUGACGGAUAUACACCUUGUCACCGGGCUGGUAUGGAUGAGUAGGUUCCUGUGAAGGUAAGGGAAACUGCGAAGAAACAUUGCCAUAUAUACCAUUCAGUUUCAUCAACAAUUCCUGUACAUAUUGUUCUUGUAUUAGCUGUAAAUCCCCAGACAUUAUAACAAGCGGUUCCCUGGCCCAGGGUGUGGGAAAAGGUCGUCCCAUCAGAAUCUCAAAUGGAGAUAAUUUAGUCACCUUGUGGGGAGUCAUUCUUAUCUCAGCUAAAAUAGCUGGUAGAUAUUUUGUCCAAUUUACCCAUGUUACUGCAGUAGCUUUCAUAAGCUUCUCCUUAAUGGUCCUAUUCAUCCUUUCAACUACCCCUGAACUCUGUGGAUGAUAGGGUAUAUGAAACUUCCAGGUAACUUGCAAGAAUUUAGCAAGUUCCUGGGUAACCUUACUGGCAAAAGCCGGGCCAUUAUCAGAGUUAAUCUGCAGAGGGCAGCCAUACCUGGGAAUAAUUUCAGUAGCAAGAAUCUUCACUACAGUCCUAGCAUCUUCCCUGGAUGUCACAAAGGCUUCGGGCCAUCUACUAAACUGAUCAACUAUGACCAGUAAGUAUUGCUGUUUCUUACCAAUUUUGGGUACGUGAGUAAAAUCAAUCUGUAAGUGUGUAAAAGGAGCAGCUGGAGGGGGCAAAUGUUCAUGCUGUGAUUUGUGUGGAAUAUUUGGAUGUGUUCUCAUACAUGGUUCACAUGAUCUUACAAAAGACUGUACAUGCUGCCUAAGAUUCCUAAUAUAAAAUGAAUUCAUGAGGAAUUGGAUGGUACUUGCUAUGCUUUUAUGGCCAGGACCAUGUGCCUGACUGAUGAAAAUAAAACAACUUGCUUCAGGUAUGCCAAUCUUCCCCUCUUUAGAGAAAAGAUCAUUCUGAUCUUUUUCUAAACCUUGUUUAAUCCAAAAAUCCAAGUCAGAUUGCGUUGCAAAGGCUUGAAGCUGCAAAAGCAAACUGUCAGUAGGGCAUGUGGGUGGUUUAAGCAUAGCAGGAAACAUUUUAAAGUAAACAAUCUUGGCUGCAGCUUCUUUUGCUACUUUGUCAGCCAAGGCAUUUCCUCUUGAAAUGUCAUCACUACCAAGAGUGUGUGCCUUGCAGUGGAUAAUAGCUACUUCAGAUGGUAG